GGCGCAUAAAAGUUUUCAAUUACAUUGAAAAAGCCUGCUGGGGCCUUAAAGCAGUUAUGUAUUUCAUAA
rnacentral:tRNA from 1 species